GCGCGGCGUACCGGACGGCGGGAUCGGGGCGGGUCUGCUCCGCUACGCCAACCCGGCCACGGCGCGGCUGUUCGACCCGGCGGCGCGCGCC
rnacentral:tRNA from 1 species